UGUUUGGUUUGUUACGUGUGGUUGGCUGCGGCGUUUGCAACAACUUCCAUGCUUUCAGACCUCUUCAGUUGUGCGGCAAGGCUUGUAUCGCCUUGAGCGUAUUGUGGGUUUUCUGUGUUGGCUACCUAAUCAACGGUAUCGUUUGGAUUGAUCAAAGUUUGAUUUCGUCUUCCGUCGCGUUUGCGGCGUGAGGUGAACCUUGAUGCGGUCUCUUUGAUCCAUCUCGUCGAAGCACAUGCUUUGACGUUGUGGCACAUUGAGCAUUGCUUGGUGUCUUGUAUACGGAACACGUAGUGGGCAUGGAUCUAACGAUUCUUGUUUGCCCUCAUAUUAGCGUAACGCUUCUCUAACACGACUUGCACCACGUUUUAGCUCGUACGGACGUGGUGCUAUGUCGCAGAGGAAUGCUACCUGGUUGAUCCUGCCAGAGUCAAUNU
rnacentral:misc_RNA from 1 species